rnacentral:tRNA from 1 species
GGAGGGGUGGUCGAGUGGUUAAAGGCACCAGACUGUAAAUCUGGCCGCGAGCGUACGCUGGUUCAGAAUCAGCCCCUCCACCA